rnacentral:rRNA from 11 species
GGUGGGAGCACUGAAUGUCAUAAAGGUACCAGAUCCCCUAUGAUAUUGGAAGUUAGGCAAGGUCAACCCUGAUUGGUACUUGGAUGGAAGAUCAACAGUAAGUACCGGGUGCUGUUGGCU